rnacentral:tRNA from 1 species
GGCCCUAUGGCGCAACGGUAGCGCGUUCGACUCCAGAUCGAAAGGUAAAUCUACGCUCCGCACUAGCAUCGUGAAGCGGCAAGCAACUAACAAGCUUCAUCACAGGUUAUCCGUUCAAAUCGGGUUGGGGUCA